rnacentral:rRNA from 1 species
GUAGUCAUAUGCUUGUCUCAAAGAUUAAGCCAUGCAUGUCUAAGUAUAAGCAAUUAUACCGUGAAACUGCGAAUGGCUCAUUAAAUCAGUUAUCGUUUAUUUGAUAGUACCUUACUACUUGGAUAACCGUGGUAAUUCUAGAGCUAAUACAUGCUGAAAACCCCAACUUCGGGGGGGGUGUAUUUAUUAGAUAAAAACCAACGCCCUUCGGGGCUUCUUGGUGAUUCAUGAUAACUUUACGGAUCGCAUGGCCUUGCGCCGGCGACUGUUCAUUCAAAUUUCUGCCCUAUCAACUUUCGAUGGUAGGAUAGUGGCCUACCAUGGUAUCAACGGGUAACGGGGAAUG